rnacentral:snoRNA from 1 species
GUUUGUCAGAACAUUCUCAACAGGCCCAUCCCCCUGUAACUCUCAUAGUGCCCCAUGCCAGAGCAAACUGUAGCCCGAACCAUUGCCUGGCCUUGCCAUAGGCCUUGGCACCGAAGCGGGUUGCACAAUG